rnacentral:lncRNA from 1 species
AAGAAAAUGCACUUGAGAAUCUCCCUUUUCCCACCCUUUUUCCUCAAAGCAAAAUCAGUAAUUUCAACAGUUUCCCAUUUUCAAAAGGUGAAAAAGCAGAAUGAUGGCCAGGCGAGUUCUCUGGCUAGGAAGAAGCCCAGCUGGUAUACACCAUUUUUCUGCACUUCCCCUGGGCAGCCAGAUGACUAGGAUUCAAGGACCAGCCUACCACUUUCUAAGCUGUUUGCCUUGGACAAAUGACUUAUUGCCUCUGAACUUCACUUUACUCACCUGUAAAAUGAGGAGACUCCAGAAGAAUGAGAAGAUUCCAUGAGAUGACUCUAGCAGAUCCAUUUCAGAAAAUACUCUGCGUGUGAAGUUAUUACAAGGAACUUGGCAGGCACACUCCCCUUCACCUAUGGGGCUUUUCUUUUUUCUUCCAUGAGAGCUUCUACCCAGAUAUGCAGAUAGAAGAAAUGUAUUGGUCCCAAAGACAACAAUGUCUGUGAAGCAGGAUUCAAAGAGAUGAAGGGAGGGGAGAACAAGCCUUUCAAAUUAUAGCAAGUGGGUGGUCUUCAACUGCUUUUACUUCUUUUUAAAAUUCCAGAUCAUACUGGGGUAACCUAUUAGAAAGAACCCUGUCCUGGAAUCCUGGAAAAGAGGCCCUGCUAGGAGCUGACCUUGGACAAAUCACUCCCUUCUCUGAACCUCACUGUUCAGGGGGCUGAGAACAGAGGGUCCCUAAGGAAGAGUGUUGUAUGAGAACAGUCUCCGCUCUUGACCCAAGCAAACCUGGCUUCAAAUCUCAACUCCUGUGGCUGACUAGCUGUAUGACCUUGACCUUUCUCAGUUUCCUCAUCUAUAAAGCAGGAUUAAUAAAAGGUACCUAUCUAAUAUGACUGUUCUGAGAAUAAAAUGAAAUAAACUACAUAGGUGAUUUGACAUUGUGCUUGGUUUACAGUAGGUGUUUAAUAAAAG